AAAAAAAAAAGAAAAUAUGAUAAUUCAAUUCAUCAUCAUCAGAGUAUUGGUGUUUGCCAGUGGCAAGUAUUUCAUGCACGUAUAGUUUUAACCAUCAUUCUCAUUAUGACCUCUUUAUAAUCAGAAUCGUGAAACAACGACAAAAAGACAUUUAAAUAUAUACUCAUUACUUUAUAAAUACAAAAGUACAUUAAUGUUUAAUAGAUUGAAGUGGAAAUUCAAUUUAACGUACAUAUGUAGCACUCAGAAACGUGUCCGAUUCCCCAACACGUGUCCAUGUGACGUCAAUGAUCUGAUAAACAUGUCAA
rnacentral:lncRNA from 1 species